UACGGGAGAAAGCAGGGGACCUUCGGGCCUUGCGCUAUCAGAUGAGCCUAGGUCGGAUUAGCUAGUUGGUGAGUUAAUGGCUCACCAAGGCUACGAUCCGUAACUGGUCUGAGAGGAUAAUCAGUCACACUGGAACUGAGACACGGUCCAGACUCCUACGGGAGGCAGCAGUGGGGAAUAUUGGACAAUGGGCGAAAGCCUGAUCCAGCCAUGCCGCGUGUGUGAAGAAGGUCUUCGGAUUGUAAAGCACUUUAAGUUGGGAGGAAGGGCAGUAAGUUAAUACUUUGCUGUUUUGACGUU
rnacentral:rRNA from 1 species